ACACCUCAACUCUCAUGGUCUGCCAUGACGAGCUUGGACUUGGGGGUCUUGUUGGCCUAUGGUCAGCUCCUCUCAAACGAAUCAGCUUGCCAGUGUUUGGUGGCAUCACAGGUGUGAUAACUAUCUACGCUUGUGGAUUUCCAUCAGGUAACCUUCAGUGAUGGAGGUUCGCUGGGGCUUACAAACGUCUCUCCUCGGGGAGGACAGCUUUUUUGAAC
rnacentral:misc_RNA from 1 species